GACGAACGCUGGCGGCAGGCUUAACACAUGCAAGUCGAACGCAUCGCAAGAUGAGUGGCAGACGGGUGAGUAACGCGUGGGAACAUACCCUUUUCUACGGAAUAGCUCUGGGAAACUGGAAUUAAUACCGUAUACACCCUACGGGGGAAAGAUUUAUCGGGGAAGGAUUGGCCCGCGUUGGAUUAGCUAGUUGGUGGGGUAAAGGCCUACCAAGGCGACGAUCCAUAGCUGGUCUGAGAGGAUGAUCAGCCACAUUGGGACUGAGACACGGCCCAAACUCCUACGGGAGGCAGCAGUGGGGAAUAUUGGACAAUGGGCGCAAGCCUGAUCCAGCCAUGCCGCGUGAGUGAUGAAGGCCUUAGGGUUGUAAAGCUCUUUCACCGAUGAAGAUAAUGACGGUAGUCGGAGAAGAAGCCCCGGCUAACUUCGUGCCAGCCGCCGCUGUAACAC
rnacentral:rRNA from 1 species